rnacentral:lncRNA from 1 species
GGCAACCCUCUGGGGUCCCCUUGCACGCUGUGGAAGCUUUAUUGUUUCACUCUUUGCAAUAAAUCUUGCUGCUGCUCACUCUUUGGGUCCACACUGCCUUUAUGAGCUGUAACACUCACGAUGAAGUUCUGCAGCUUCACUCCUGAAGCCAGCGACACCACAAACCCACCAGGAGGAAGGAACAACUCCAGAUGCACCUCCUUAAGAGCUGUGACACUCACCGCGAAGGUCCGCAGCUUCACUCCUGAGCCGGCGAGACCACGAACCCCACCAGAAGGAAGAAACUCUGAACACCUCCGAACAUCAGAAGGAACAAACUCUGGACACGCUGCCUUUAGGAACUGUAACACUCACCGCGAGGGUCCCCGGCUUCAUUCUUGAAGUCAGUGAGACCAAAAUCCCACCAAUUCUGGACACACUAGGAAGACUGAGACCCAAUUGGACCAUCAAAGAACGACCCAAUCACCAGCACAAAGCUAAUAAACUUGUAAGCUUUCAAUACAAAUAACGUUGGAACAUAGCUAGGAAGACUUCAGGAGACAGAUUCUCUUUGCAGAGUCUCUGGGAGCCUUUCUCUCUACCAUGUGGAUGCCUGCAGAAGCCUGCACAGUCAUUCUGCCACAUGCACUGUGGAUACACAGCUGAUUUACAGCUGGGCUGAAAAAGCCUCAUCUCUGUUUCUGGGGAUUCCAGGAUAUCCUGUUUUUGACUCUUAGCUAAGACGGAAAAAGUGAUGCUCACGCCAGAGAAGAGUCAGCCCAAGGUCAUCUAGGAUCAGUGGCACACCUAGGAUUCAGGCCCAAGGACCCCCAGCUGACCUGCCUUCCCUGGAACCUCACUGUGAGUUCUUUAACCAUGGCUGUGUUUUCAAAGUUGAACUGGGGCUGCUGUUGAUACCACCUUUAAAUGCCUGCUUUUGUCAUGGAGACCAUGAGAACUUCACUCUUCAGCUGGCAAUUUACCUGGCUGCACAGUGCUCAGGCACACACAGGCUUCAGGGCUACAAGGUAAAGGAUUUGCCAAGGCCAAGUGCUGAAACCCACUUCUUGUUUUGAAGCAAAUGAGAACUUCCACCUGUAUUUGACCUGGGUAUGUAUAUUAAUUAGUUUGGCAACUGAGAUUUUUUUCUUGAUGAUCAAAAGUCCUAACUGGCAGUUAAAUAUGUCUUUUUUUUUUUUUUUUUUGAGACAGAGUUUCCCUCUUGUCACUCAGACUGGAGUGCAAUGGCACAAUCGAGGCUCACUGCAACCUCUUUCUCCCCAGUUCAAGCAAUUCUCCUGUUUCAGCCUCCCAAGUAGCUGGGAUCACAGGUGUCUGCCACCACACCUGGCUAAUUUUGUAUUUUUUAGUAGAGACAGGUUUUCACCAUGUUGGCUAGAUUGGUCCUGAACUCCUGACCUCAGGUAAUCCACCCGCCUCGGCCUCCCAAAGUUCUGGGAUUACAGGUGUGAGCCGCUGCCCCUGGUCAAAUAUGUCUUUUUAAAAAAAUAAUAAUAAUGACUUUUAAAUACAAGUGACCUGAGUAUGCAAAGUAUUUCUAGACUCAGGGUUCUUAAAGUGAGGAAAAAUUAGCAAAAGCAUUAUUUGACAGCCCCUAGAAUAGGCCAAAUAUGAAAUAACUAACAAAUUGCAGAUAGUAGUGUGCUCUACAAAGAAAAAGAGAGCAAGACAAUGGAUUACAGAAAAGAUGAAGUUUAUUUUAGAUGGAGUAUUAAGUGACAGAUUCUAUGAGGAGGUGAAAAUUGACCAGACAACUGAAAGAAGUAAAACAGCCAUACUAGUAUCUCAGGAAAAAUUAUCGCAGGAAAAAAAGAGGAAAAAUAAAAUGACUCUAUGUCGGAGGGAGUUUGGGCUGGCAUGGUGGCUCAUGCCUUUAAUCCCAGCACUUUGGGAGGGCGAGGUGGGUGGAUCACUUGAGGUCAGGAGUUCGAGACCAGCCUGCUGAACAUAGUGAAACCCGUCUCUACUAAAAAUACAAAAAUUAGCCUGGUGUGGUGGUGGGUGCCUGCAAUCUCAGCUACUCAGGAGGCUGAAGCAGGAGAAUUGCUGGAACCUGGGAGGUGGAGGUUGCAGUGAGCCUAGAUCAUGCCACUGCACUCCAGCCUGGGUGACAGAGUGAGACUCCACAAAAAAAAAAAAAAAAGGGGGGGGUGGGUGGGGAGGAGGGUUUGGCAUGUUUAAUGGAAAAGGUCUGUGUGUGACCAGAAUAGAUGGAAUGCAGAGAAGCAAAAUAUAGAUUUUAAUUUCCAUGGUUCUUUACUGAAGAGUGUUUCUUAUUUAAGUAACAACGCUAUGAUUAAAUUGAUUGUGAAAGAAUUACAAAUCUAGAAUUUAUUGCAUGAUCAGAUAGGAGAACAGAUUUGAUUUGCUAACUCUGUAUAAUAUACUACAGUGUAAGCCACCCUCUAUUACUUUAGCAAAAGAUGUUUUUUUCAUUUUCCUGCAAGUAUAUUUUUUCUCUAAAACCUUAAUUAGCAUUUUUUAAUAUUGCUGAAAGAUGGGGAUAUAAGUUCCAUUUAUUUCUUGAAACUGAAUAUAAUUAUCAAAUAUUGAAAAAUAAUAAUGGGCAUCAUUAUAAUUACUGUUAAGUAGUUUUCCUGUGUAGAGAGAAUUAUAAAAAUAUCCUUCAUUAUCUUUCAUGGAUAAAUGAUGUUUUUCUCAUGAGCCAGAGAAAAAUUAUCACAAUGUCUGCCCAGGUGUUUCUGUUAUGCUUACAGAAGUGAGUAGUGCUAUUUGCAGACACUGUACUUUCUCUCUUUUUCAUAUGAGUACAUUAAUCAAUUGUGGAGUUGUGGCAUCUGCUGUAAAACAAUUUGUUUUUCCAUUAUUUGAUGGCUACACUUUUUCUUUUAGUUUUUUUCUCUUCUUAUUGAAUCACAUUUUCUUUCCUCUUCUUUUAAAAAUAUUGCUGUAUUGAUUUACAAAAAAUAUAUAUUUUAUUGCCUCAUUUUAAUUUUUGGUAAUCCAUGUACUGCUUUAUUAAGGCCUAUAUAACUCAUAAUCCAACUCAUCGAUUAAAAGUUCAGGAAACCAAAGAGAUGGCUUUUUCUCCAAUUGAAGAUAUCAUAAUGAUAAUUUUGGGGGCUGGUGAAAACUGAGAUUGUCAGAAGGCUAAUUUUUUCUUAGAUGUCAUUUUUGUUGGUCACAAACUAGAGAUGAAGCUCUCUACAGGCAAGUAUAGAACCAUCUCUCUGUGCAACAAUUUGUAUUUUCAGACCACUUUUAGUCUUUGGGGGUAGAUACAAUUACUUAGAAAAAUCUUCAAUGUCUCUUUGGAAAACAGUUGAUCUCGAACUCAGUUCUAAAGCUGAGUCAGCAUCACAGGAUUUCAGAUUCUUGAAUGUUAUUUUUGUUGUCUUUCUCUUACUAAAUUGUUAUCACUGAAUAUUUCUCCUUUGUUUUACUCCAUUUGGACUGCUAUAACAAAAUACCAUAGACUGAGUAGCUUAUAAUACAGAAUUCACAUCUCACAGUUCUGAGGCUGGGAAGUUCAGCAUCAAGGUGCCAGCAGGUUCAGUGUCUUGUGAGGGCCUGUUUUCGGUUUCAUGGAGGGCCCCUUCUCACUGCAUCUUUACGUGGUACAAGUGGCAAGUCAGCUCUCUGGGGCCUCUUUUAUAAGAACACUUAUAGGAAUAUUGAAUUAGUGAACGAGCUCUGUUCUCGUGAAUUAAUCAUCUCCCAAAAGGCCCUAUCUCCUAACCCAUUUAUGCUGGAGGUUGCAAUUUUUGUGUGUGAAAAAUCAGACCUUGGCAAUGACCUUGAGCAGUAGGAUAUAAAUAACUCCCACAAGCUUAGCAUUCCAAUAAGGGAACACUAGGCAUAAAUGGGCUUAAUACCCUCAUCUUAGGGGAAAGGAUUUCAAUAUGUGAAUUUUGUGAAACACAAACAUUCAGACGGCAGCAUCUUUGCUUUCUUAAAAAGUUAAAUGAAACAAGUUCCCAAAUUUAAACAAGCAGAAAUAUGUAUACAGAUAAGGGUAGAGGAAUAGUUUAAAAUUAUUUUAAUUAGAUAUUUGAAGUCCUCAGUACGCUACAUUUAUAAAAAAGAAAUGGUAUAUGUGACAGGGAGCAAAAUAAAACCCUGUGUCAUAAAAAGAAUCCACUAUCAAUUAUUUAAAAAGAUCUUAGCAAGGAAAUAUCAGCUUCGAUAUUACAAACUUUUCAGAUGUGAAAAAUGAUUUAUUUUCAAAUAUAGUUCAAAUGAAGUUUUGCCUUAACAAAAUGGCUUUUCUAAAGGCCACCUUUAGAUCAAAAUACUUAAUCUAACUUGUGCCACUUCUUGGUAACCCUUGGUAACCCCUAAAUUGUUUUCUCUAUUUUCUCCAACUACUCUACUAAAAAGUUUCUUCCUAUUUCUCCACAUGGCUUCAAAAAAGGGAACAUAAAAGAGAAAUACCAGUCAGUGAUAAUCAUGUGGAAAAAAAUAAUAAUGUGAAGCAAUUUUUGUUUGUUUGUUUGUUUGUUUGUUUUCUCUCGAGGUCAUGAUCUGGUACUUUUUUACAGCAAACUCAUACUUAACAAAUUUUAAAGAUUUUUUAAAGAAUGAACUAAUGAAUUGGGUUAGUAAGGGUGGUUGCCUUGUCUUGCUCAUUGCAAGAAUGAAAGCUGUAUAAGUUGAAUGAAAAUAUAAAUAUGACUUUGAAGCUCCUUUGUAAUGGUGGGGUUUCCCAGAAGUCAAGUUUCCUCAGUGGUGACAUAAAUCUACUGUGUGAGAAGCAUCUACCUGGACCAACCUACAAAUCAGCCCCCUGGGGAAGUGCUUCCUGCUGUGAGAAAUAAAUCCAGGAAUUCUGGGUCUUCUGUCUGCAUCUAUGAACCUGUGCAGGCUAAUUUCUUAGUUUCCAAGUAGAGUAAAAUCUCAGAACCCACAGUUUCUGAUAAUACAUACCCAUAUAUUUUCUAAAUUUUUCUGUUGAGAUGACCUA